ensembl:lncRNA
CCUGGCACAGAGCUAGUGCUUUCAUUCCUGAUUUUAAUUUUCAUGAUCUGAUCAGAAUGGGGAAAAUUCUUCAUGCGAGUGCGCGGAUUCAUCCUGCAAAGCCAUGCUUGACAGCACCUCCUGUGUCCAGAUGUCUCCCAGAUGCUGAACAGAGUGGAGAGCAAGAAAGAGAAAACCCCAGCCUCAUGCAGGCCACAUUCCAAUGAAUGCCUUUGAUUUGUGUUAACAGCAGAGUGAUGUGUUCCCAGUAAACAACAUUUUGCCACCUAUGAGAAAUUAUGUUUUCUACAAAGAUGUCUUCAUUCAACAAUAAUACUAGCUAAAACCUGUGCAGUGC